GAUGCCAAGAUGGUCGUUACUCUCACCCAAGGACA
rnacentral:tRNA from 1 species